GUGAUUUGAGGGCCGUCUGGGAUCCGGCCCUUGAGGGGGGGGCUACGGGGUGGGUUAUGGGGGGGGCUGAGCCGCCGACUGCGGAGGUGUUCCGUGUCCCCGAGCUGCCGACGACGACUGCGGAGGUUUCCCGUGUCCCCGAGCUGCCGCCGACAACCGCGGAGGUUUCCCGUGUGCCCGAGCUGCCGCCGACUACCGCGGAGGUUUCCCGUGUCCCCGAGCCGCCGCCGACUACCGCGGAGGUUUCCCGUGUCCCCGAGCCGCCGCCGCUGCCGACCCCGGAGGUAUCCCGUGUCUCAGAGCCUCCCAUUCCUGAG
ensembl:lncRNA